GUUGGACAUAAGUAAGUCUUUGGUGAGAAAACAUAAUAAGAAUGGCAAAAUUGCAUAAGGUUCUCACAAAGACCUGGAAUCAAUUAUAAAGGAGACAUACUCUUAUGUGGUGGAUGCAACGACAUUCUGAUUCCUUAUAAGUCUGGCAAAUACAAUACAUAUCUAUACGGUCUACUGGAUAACGAAAUUUAUGUGAAAGUUCCAGAGGGUAUCGAACUACCAAACACAUC
rnacentral:lncRNA from 1 species